rnacentral:tRNA from 1 species
GAUUGUGUAGUCUAAUAAGGAUUUUAAGUUGCAAAUUUAAAGGUAAUGAAAAUUUACAAUUU